rnacentral:rRNA from 1 species
ACGCUGGCGGCGUGCCUAAUACAUGCAAGUUGAGCGCUGAAGGUUGGUACUUGUACCAACUGGAUGAGCAGCGAACGGGUGAGUAACGCGUGGGGAAUCUGCCUUUGAGCGGGGGACAACAUUUGGAAACGAAUGCUAAUACCGCAUAAAAACUUUAAACACAAGUUUUAAGUUUGAAAGAUGCAAUUGCAUCACUCAAAGAUGAUCCCGCGUUGUAUUAGCUAGUUGGUGAGGUAAAGGCUCACCAAGGCGAUGAUACAUAGCCGACCUGAGAGGGUGAUCGGCCACAUUGGGACUGAGACACGGCCCAAACUCCUACGGGAGGCAGCAGUAGGGAAUCUUCGGCAAUGGACGAAAGUCUGACCGAGCAACGCCGCGUGAGUGAAGAAGGUUUUCGGAUCGUAAAACUCUGUUGGUAGAGAAGAACGUUGGUGAGAGUGGAAAGCUCAUCAAGUGACGGUAACUACCCAGAAAGGGACGGCUAACUACGUGCCAGCAGCCGCGGUAAUACGUAGGUCCCGAGCGUUGUCCGGAUUUAUUGGGCGUAAAGCGAGCGCAGAUGGUUUAUUAAGUCUGGUGUAAAAGGCAGUGGCUCAACCAUUGUAUGCAUUGGAAACUGGUAGACUUGAGUGCAGGAGAGGAGAGUGGAAUUCCAUGUGUAGCGGUGAAAUGCGUAGAUAUAUGGAGGAACACCGGUGGCGAAAGCGGCUCUCUGGCCUGUAACUGACACUGAGGCUCGAAAGCGUGGGGAGCAAAC